ACCCGCACAAGCGGUGGAUGAUGUGGAUUAAUUCGAUGCAACGCGAAGAACCUUACCUACCCUUGACAUGUCCGGAACUUGCCAGAGAUGGCUUGGUGCCCGAAAGGGAAUCGGAACACAGGUGCUGCAUGGCUGUCGUCAGCUCGUGUCGUGAGAUGUUGGGUUAAGUCCCGCAACGAGCGCAACCCUUAUCAUUAGUUGCUACGCAAGGGCACUCUAAUGAGACUGCCGGUGACAAACCGGAGGAAGGUGGGGAUGACGUCAAGUCCUCGUGGCCCUUAUGGGUAGGGCUUCACACGUCAUACAAUGGUCGGUACAGAGGGUUGCCAAGCCGCGAGGCGGAGCCAAUCCCACAAAGCCGAUCGUAGUCCGGAUUGUUCUCUGCAACUCGAGAGCAUGAAGUCGGAAUCGCUAGUAAUCGCAGGUCAGCAUACUGCGGUGAAUACGUUCCCGGGUCUU
rnacentral:rRNA from 1 species